GCCGAAAUGGUGGAAAUGGUAGACACACAGGACUUAAAAUCCUGAGGAGAUAAUCUCCGUACCGGUUCAAGUCCGGUUUUCGGUA
rnacentral:tRNA from 1 species